CAAGGGAGAGGAGAAGCGAUCCAGCACGCGGUGAGUAAACCUCACGUGCGUAAACCUUCUCACAAGAUUCUUCUUUAACGUUUCUACGAGACUAAUUACUUCCUUAUUCAUCCACAUACCACAUUGCCUCUCCUGCCGUUUUCACGUUUACUGCUCUAACUACUCGUUGUCUCCAUGUACUUACUUUAUAUUGUCUACGGUAGUCCCAAGACCGCGCUUAUUCCGAGAUUGAUAUAGGAAAUACAAG